GACAGAGGGGGCAAGCGUUGCUCGGAAUCACUGGGCGUAAAGGGCGCGUAGGCGGAAUGGCAAGUCGGUCGUGAAAUCCUUCGGCUCAACCGAAGAACGUCGGCCGAUACUGCCGUUCUUGAGGGAUGCAGAGGAGAUUGGAAUUCCCGGUGUAGCGGUGAAAUGUGUAGAGAUCGGGAGGAACACCGGUGGCGAAGGCGGGUCUCUGGGCAUCUCCUGACGCUGAGGCGCGAAAGCGUGGGGAGCAAACGGG
rnacentral:rRNA from 1 species